rnacentral:rRNA from 1 species
UACGAAGGGGGGCUAGCGUUGCUCGGAAUCACUGGGCGUAAAGGGUGCGUAGGCGGGUCUUUUAAGUCAGGGGUGAAAUCCUGGAGCUCAACUCCAGAACUGCCUUUGAUACUGAGGAUCUUGAGUACGGGAGAGGUGAGUGGAACUGCGAGUGUAGAGGUGAAAUUCGUAGAUAUUCGCAAGAACACCAGUGGCGAAGGCGGCUCACUGGCCCGUUACUGACGCUGAGGCACGAAAGCGUGGGGAGCAAACAGGG